UACGUAGGGUGCGAGCGUUGUCCGGAAUUAUUGGGGGUAAAGGGCUCGUAGGCGGUCUGUUGCGUCGGGUGUGAAAACUCAGGGCUUAACCCUGAGCCUGCUUCCGAUACGGGCAGACUAGAGGUAUGCAGGGGAGAACGGAAUUCCUGGUGUAGCGGUGAAAUGCGCAGAUAUCAGGAGGAACACCGGUGGCGAAGGCGGUUCUCUGGGCAUUACCUGACGCUGAGGAGCGAAAGUGUGGUGAGCGAACAGG
rnacentral:rRNA from 1 species